rnacentral:rRNA from 1 species
AUUGAACGCUGGCGGCAGGCUUAACACAUGCAAGUCGAACGAGUGGCGGACGGGUGAGUAAUGCUUGGGACUCUCGCUUAUGGCGGGGGAUACCUACGGGAAACUGUAGCUAAUACCGCGUACCAUAGGAUGAGCCCAAGUGGGAUUAGGUAGUUGGUGAGGUAAAGGCUCACCAAGCCGACGAUCUCUAGCUGGUCUGAGAGGAUGACCAGCCACACUGGGACUGAGACACGGCCCAGACUCCGACGGGAGGCAGCAGGGGGGAAUAUGGCGCAAGGGGGGAAACCUGACGCAGCCAUGCCGCGUGAAUGAAGAAGGCCUUCGGGUUGUAAAGUUCUGGCGGUAGCGAGGCGUUAACGACAGAAGAAGCACCGGCUAACUCCGUGCCAGCAGCCGCGGUAAUAC